AUUAAUAGAUCUGCAAUCGAGGCUUCUUUCAUUCUUGCUAAGCCCUAAACUUGUGGAUAAACUUCCUUGAGUGCCCUAUCACCCCGCCAUACAUCAUGCCAAAAUUUGACCUUCAAUCCGUUAUCCAUAGUAAAGCAAGUAUUUGCUGCAUAUGUGUCGCAACCUCUUCUUAUAUGCUUUCAAAGCCCCAGACCAUAAGGCCAACCCACCUCAGUAGAACACCAUCCUCUCCCAUGGUCCCCCAGCACAAGAGAAUUACAUAAAAUGUUAUGUUUAAGUAAAGCUUGUCCACCACGUGGCUGCGGACAUCAUGGGGCAAUCAAUUAUUGUCUAAAUAUGUUUUUAAACCUAAGUAUAUGAUAUUGAAAGGCAAUCAACCAUGGUGGCCUUCCUGGGUUUUUUUUUUUUUUUUUAACUUUUUAAAAAUAUGUUUUUAUUAUAAAAAGUUUAUUUAUUAUUGUUUUAAAAACUUAAAGUUGACACGUGGCAAUCAAUUAUUUCCAUCUUUCUUUAUUUAUACUUAUAAAAAAAAAUUGACAUGUGGCAAUCAAUCUGUGAAGCUGCCACGUGUUUUUGAUUAACACUGAUGGACAAAAAAAUCAACAAAGUUUCCUCCUUUUAAUUAACUCAUAAG